GAACAACGAUGAUGAGAAUGAAUAUAAUCGCAGCACCCCUGUCGACCUGCUCACUGAUUUGGAAAAAGUCAAUGCCUGGAUCGGUUCGUCUACUCUAGAAUGCAACCCAAAUAAGCCACUUGCAUCCGACGAUUCACCGGCGCAAAACCUGCAGGUAAAUUUUAAUCAUGCAAUUCAAAUUUCCAAUCACCAUGGUUCUGCUUAUAUAUAUAUAUAUUCUUAUUUAUGUUUAUAUAUUUCAGCGGCGAAACACCGGAGGAAUGAGCGAGUUUGAGAUCUGUCAAGACGACGAACCGUUUCAAAAUUUCGGCAUCGAAAAUGAUUGGAAUUUUAGCAACUACGAACAAAUGUUUGGAUUACCAAGCACCAAUAUUCAAUAUUCCGAGAAACUCCAUGAGAUAAUCACAAAGACAGUGUUCACUGAAUCAACUGCCAGUGCAAAC
rnacentral:lncRNA from 1 species